rnacentral:rRNA from 1 species
AUUGAACGCUGGCGGCAUGCCUUACACAUGCAAGUCGAGCGGCAGCGCGGGGGCAACCCUGGCGGCGAGCGGCGGACGGGUGAGUAAUGCAUCGGAACGUGUCCUCUUGUGGGGGAUAACCAGUCGAAAGAUUGGCUAAUACCGCAUGAGCUCGUAAGAGGAAAGCGGGGAUCCGUAAGGACCUCGCGCGAGAGGAGCGGCCGAUGCCCGAUUAGCUAGUUGGGGGGUAACGGCCUACCAAGGCGACGAUCGUAGCUGGUCUGAGAGGACGACCAGCCACACUGGGACUGAGACACGGCCCAGACUCCUACGGGAGGCAGCAGUGGGGAAUUUUGGACAAUGGGCGAAAGCCUGAUCCAGCCAUGCCGCGUGUGUGAAGAAGGCC